GAGAUGAUCCUAUUGUCUGCAUCUCCACUCCAGGAUAAAAGAUGGACUCCCAGUGAAACUGUUAAUACAUCUCUAUAAUAGGAUGCCGGACU